UAGGGAAUCUUCCACAAUGGACGAAAGUCUGAUGGAGCAACGCCGCGUGAGUGAAGAAGGUCUUCGGAUCGUAAAGCUCUGUUGUUGGUGAAGAAGGAUAGAGGCAGUAACUGGUCUUUAUUUGACGGUAAUCAACCAGAAAGUCACGGCUAACUACGUACCAG
rnacentral:rRNA from 1 species